rnacentral:rRNA from 1 species
AUCCUGGCUCAGAUUGAACGCUGGCGGCAUGCCUUACACAUGCAAGUCGAACGGCAGCACGGGUGCUUGCACCUGGUGGCGAGUGGCGAACGGGUGAGUAAUACAUCGGAACGUACCUUAUCGUGGGGGAUAACGCAGCGAAAGCUGUGCUAAUACCGCAUACGCCCUGAGGGGGAAAGCGGGGGAUCGAAAGACCUCGCGCGAUUAGAGCGGCCGAUGCCUGAUUAGCUUGUUGGUGGGGUAAAAGCCCACCAAGGCGACGAUCAGUAGCUGGUCUGAGAGGACGAUCAGCCACACUGGGACUGAGACACGGCCCAGACUCCUACGGGAGGCAGCAGUGGGGAAUUUUGGACAAUGGGCGCAAGCCUGAUCCAGCAAUGCCGCGUGCAGGAAGAAGGCCUUCGGGUUGUAAACUGCUUUUGUACGGAACGAAACGGUCUGGGCUAAUACCCCGGGCUAAUGACGGUACCGUAAGAAUAAGCACCGGCUAACUACGUG